AACUUCCAUAUGACAUGGUUGCAGCCCUAAAAAGCCAAAAAAAAAAAAAAAAAGUCCUUGACAAGAAGGGACGCUGCCCUGGUGCUCUGCGUGGAAUGAGAAGGCAGCCUCGGUCUCCAGUCAAGCCUGUCCCGCCCAAUGAGUAAGCCUCCACAGCCCUGGUGGCUUCCUUGUGACUCUCUGGCCAUGAGGGAGGCACGAGUGCAGUGCUAAUGGGCAUCAUCUUCUCCGAGCGUGGCCACACUCGGGUGGGCCCAUCCCCCAGCCUCAGGAGCACACGUUCAUCCCAGCCGGACCCCCAACCCCACCGAUGAUGCUCUUGAUCCUACAGACCCGGUGGGAGACCUCGACAGACAGACAGAAUACCCCCAGAGAGCAGGUAGCCAUCCUAGCCAUCCUCCCAUCUCCAGGGUGGGAGACCCUGGGGCUCAAUCCCCCCGUCAUGUCUGGUUCCACGUCGCCUGGCAGAGCAAGUGGGUGUGUGUUCACGGAGCAGGCGCAGCCACGCCCCCGGAGAGGCGGAACCCUCCUCCGAGAGCAGCCUCGAUUUCCCUGCCUUCCCCCAGCGGGACAUCCUCACAGACCCGAAGGGGCGGCCCCCAUCAGCUCAUGGGAAUGGCCCCACAGAGAAGGGAGUGUUUGCGCAGAGCAAACAGAAAUGCCUUCAUGGAUGAGGGACAUGCAGCCAGAACACAGGCGGAAAGAUCUGCCACGAGAGAGGUGAAAAUGCCCCCCGCUGAGAAGGUAGGAGGACGUCAAAAGAGCAGGUGGGAGUGCCCCAAAGCAUGAUGGGAGCCUCCCACGGUCGAUACAGCAUCCCAUGGACUGGUCCCCUAACUCCUAGGGACAAGGUGGGGGGCAGAGACUUCCUCAGAACUUCUAGAACAUGGCAAGCCCUUAAUAGUUCACCUAAUUAAUCAAUGAGUUAAUCAAUGAACCACCGAGGAAGAGCUUGGGGGUGGUUUUAACACCCCAAGGUGUUGGGGGGCGGGGCACAGCUGGACCUUCUGGUCCGGCGCCUCCCUCAUUAAAAUCCCGAGGCCUCGUUGCAGGGCAUCUCAGCAACGCCACCCUGUGAGGAGGCAUUGUUCUCAUCUCAUUUUUCAGAUGAGGCUCUGGAAGGGACGUGCUGGGCUGCACCCGAAUCCAGCGUCCGCAGGAGCCAGGAGGCUGCCCUGAACCUGCUCUUUGGGUUUUCACCCUCCUUCUCCCACAAGGAUAGAGUGGAAUUUUCCAGAGACUACGUGAUGUCUGAUAUGGUAACCCACUGAAUGCGGAAACAGAUGUGGGGAGAUUCAGUUGGGGUCUAUUCAUCCAGUUAUUAAAGAAAGUUGCAACAAUGCAAAACGAUGUUAUUUUUCCUCACCAAAUGUUUUUAGCUUUGGGAAAUAUAUUUAAUUUUUCAUAAAAAAUAUCCUUAUUAUUUUAAAUGAAUUGAUAAAUGUUUUUAACUGUU